CAGUCGCCGCGGGAAUACGUAGGGUGCAAGCGUUAAUCGUAAUUACUGGGCGUAAAGCGUGCGCAGGCGGUUAUAUAAGACAGAUGUGAAAUCCCCGGGCUCAACCUGGGAACUGCAUUUGUGACUGUAUAGCUAGAGUACGGCAGAGGGGGAUGGAAUUCCGCGUGUAGCAGUGAAAUGCGUAGAUAUGCGGAGGAACACCGAUGGCGAAGGCAAUCCCCUGGGCCUGUACUGACGCUCAUGCACGAAAGCGUGGGGAGCAAACAGGAUUAGAUACCCCCGUAGUCCCUGUCUCUUAUAC
rnacentral:rRNA from 1 species